rnacentral:lncRNA from 1 species
AAAUGUUUAUAUAAAUAUAUUUGACUCGUUAAAAAAUAAUCAUUGUAUAAAUGACUAUAUAUCCGAAAUGGAUAAUUACAAUUAUAAUCAAUCACUACCAGUGGACAACAAGAAUACUACAAGUACAUCUAUUCAUGAAUCCUCGAUGCAUUUACAAAAAGAAUAUGAUUUACAAACUUCGAAUAUCGAAAAUUACAAAAACAAUUCAGUUAAUCCAUUUAAACAACACAUUGUAUUAGGAGAGGGUAUACAUAACAAUCUAAAAGAGUAUCUACAUGCAUAUUAUGAAAAUGAAAUUAAAGAUUAUAAAUUAAACAUAAUUAAUUCAAAUGUAUAUAAUAGCAUCAUAUGUGGAACAAAAACCACAGACGUUUCUUACCUCAAACUUACUGUGAAAGCAUGUGAUGGUUAUACUCAUGAUGAUUAUUGUGCUUUGUUUAUUUUAAAAGAAUUUUUUUCUAUGACAGAGGGACCAUUAUAUAGUAGUAUACGUAAAGGUGGUUAUGCUUAUUCAUGUGGUUUAGAUUUUAAUCCUAUUUUAGGAGAAUUAACUUUAUAUAUAUAUAAGUCUAGUGACAUUACUUCUGCCUUCAAAGAAGCACUUAAAGUGUUAUCAACUUAUUGUGACUACCAUUUAAAUGAAAAAGAACUUUGUUUAGCAAAAUAUAGCGCAUAUUAUGCUAUUUUUGAUAAAGGAGGAAUGGUAAACGAUAAAAGUUUCCAAACAGUUUGUUUAAAUAUAAAAAAAUUACCAUUAAAUUUUUACCAUAAUUUAUUACAAGAGGUCGAAAAAAUCAGUGAAAAAAAGUUGUUAUAUGCAUGUCAAAAAUAUAUAUCAAGAAUCAUUCAUUUUAAGGCAGAUGAAAAAAAUGCUUUAAUAGGUUCUACAUUAUGUGUUGUUUGUCCUUCAGAAAAAGUAGAACAAAUAAAAAAUGAAAUGAUACAAAGAACACCAAUUUCUAGAAUCUAUAACUUGAGUAACCCUCAGAUGUAUAAACUUUUGAAAACAUACAAGUUGGAUUGUUGUAUGAAUAACUUUGAAACUGAGCAAGGACAAAAAAGAAAUGAUAUAGCAGGGUCUACUAUAGAAUCAGAAGUGAUGGAUAGCGAUGGCACAAAUAGUGGCACAAAUAGUGGCAUUAAUUGUAGUAGUAAUAGUGACAGUUAU